UACGGGGGGAGCAAGCGUUGUUCGGAUUUACUGGGCGUAAAGGGCGCGUAGGCGGCCAGCGCAAGUCAGUUGUGAAAUCUCCGAGCUUAACUCGGAAAGGUCAACUGAUACUGCGCGGCUAGAGUGCAGAAGGGGCAACUGGAAUUCUCGGUGUAGCGGUGAAAUGCGUAGAUAUCGAGAGGAACACCUGCGGCGAAGGCGGGUUGCUGGGCUGACACUGACGCUGAUGCGCGAAAGCGUGGGGAGCAAACAGG
rnacentral:rRNA from 1 species